ACUUUUAAAGGANGACAGAUAUCC
rnacentral:tRNA from 1 species